GCUCUCGGGCUCAGGCUGGGGGGUGGGGACUUCCUUUCCCCUAAGGUGGCGUUGCCAGGUCCCCCAAAUAAAAAUACAGGACGCCCAGUUAGGUUGGAAUUUCAGAUAAACAGUGGAUGACUGUUCAGUGUAAGUAUAGCCCAUGCAAUAUUUGGGAGAUACUUACACUAAAAUUUUGCAUCGUUUAUCUGAAAUUCCAGUGUAACUGGGCUCCUGUAUUUCAAACGACAACCCUAGCUUGAGGUCAGAAGAACUGGGCCCUGUCUCAGGACAGUCCUCCGAGCCACCAACUGUGAUCUAGGACACCUGAGCAUCUUCAUCAUCAUCCAGUCACUGUCAUCAUCGAUCACUAGGAAUCAUAGCUCACCUAAUCUGCACAUCAGCGUCAGGAGAUGGUGCUGUCAUUAGCCGCAUUUGUCAGAAGGGGAAACUGAUGAUGCUCAGAGACUUGGAGCAGUUUGUACAAGGAGGAGUUGCACCUACUGAAUCCAAAUCUCCAGGAGAAGGGUCUGUUUUUAACUCCUUAAGGAGUUCUUUUGAUCCGUCAAGUUUGGGAAAUUCUCAACUAGCUGCCUACAUCCAGGAGACUGCUUCCAAUCUUGGACAAGAGUUCUAAUAGCAAAUGAUACGCUCCUGAAGACUUCCCAGCAUGGCAGGGCACUCGGGGUUUCUUAUGCAUGGAGGCAGGGCUUCCUGACGUGUGGAACCCGGAAUGAAGAAUGUGAGUUCGAACACCAUCCCCAGGGAAAUCUCACGCUGGCAGAGGUCCUCCCACGUACCCUAUUUCUUCAGAUCGAGCUGACCAUUACGGUAACUGCUAGCCACACGCGACUACUUCCAUUAAUCAAAAUUAAAUAACAUUUCCAUGACAGUUCUUCAGGUACACAAGACAUAUUUCAAGUGCUCCGUAGCUACAUGCGGCUAGGAUGACCUGAGUUAGAGGAAAAAGAUCCAGGACAUUCCAGUUCAAUCUGAAUAUACGAUAAAGUAUGGCCCAGCAUACUUACAAGAAAAAAAGUCAUAUGUUGUUUAUCUGAAUUCACAUCUAACUGGGCAUCAUAUCUGAUUAGGGCUACCAUGCUGGAGAGCACAGAUGUGGAGCGUUCCCAUCAUUGUAGAAAUUUCUAAUGGACAGCUCUGCUUUAGAACCUUCAUGAGCAACUCAAAGCUAAUGAACCCUACCCCAUUCCUGGUGUUUUUCUGUCCACCGGCACAUGAUGGGCAUGCAGAUCAUGAAUAGCCAGAAGUGUCCAGAACUACUAUGAUAAAGUUCUUGGCCUCUGAAGCAGUUAAUACUAAUUACUCCAGUUUUUUUUUUCAUCCAAACACUUGAAUUUAAUUUCCUCAUUUAAGCUUUUGUUCCUCCAUUUUCUUUUCUUUUUUUUUUUCAUCUCCCCUACAUUGCUUAACACCCCUUAUAAAUAAUAUUCUGGCAAUAAAUAAUCUUCUGUAAAUAAUCUUGUAGGGGCUUACUCUUCCUUUCCAAUCUUAAUUUUAUUCAACUAUAUCAUGAACUCAGCCUCCUGAACUAUUUAAAUAUUUUACAAUUACUCGGUGCCAUGAAAAACCCUAUUUUCCCUUUCUCAACAAGUAUUAGUGUUUGCCUGGGUGGCUCAGUGGGUUAAGUGUCUGCCUUCGGCUCACGUCAUGAUCCAAGGUCCUGGGAUCGAGUCCUGCAUUGGGCUCCGUGCUCUGCAGGGACUCUGCUUUUCCCUCUACCCCUCCUCCCACUCAUUAUCUCAAUUUCUCUCUCUCUCAAAUAGAUAAAUAAAAUCUAAAAAAAAAAAAAAAAAAAAGAAUUAGUGUUCUCCUGAAAACUCCAAUCCUCAUGACUCAAUGAUAUAUUGAGUGUAUGAUCUGAUCUCCUUAAAGUGUUGGGGGAUGUCAUCAAAACAUCGUGACUGCCAGUUGACCCAUGAACUAGACCCGGGCUCUUGGAGCUCCUCACCUGCUCCCCUGUCCUUAGAAUGUGGGUUCUGCUUGCCUUUCCUGCUGAGUGGGGAGUCUGCUUCUCCCUCCCCAUCUGCCUGCUGCUCCCCCCUGCUUGUGCUCUCUCUCUCUGUCAAAUAAAUAAAAUCUUAAAAAAAAAAAAAAAAGAAAUAGGGUCUUUGCAGAUGCAAUCAAGUUAAGGUGAGAUCCCACUGGAGUAGGACAAGCUUGGUCUGAGGACUGGUGUCUUUAUAAGAAGAGGAGAGGAUGCCCAUAGACCCCCAGAGAAGAAGGCCAUGUGAUGAGAGAUGCAGACAUUGGAGUGACACAUCAACAAGCCAAGGAACACCAAGGAUUGUAGCCAACCACCUGCAGCUUGAAGAACAGCAAGGAAGGAUUCUCCCCUAGAGCCUUCUGAGGGAGCACAGUCCUGCUGACACCUUGAUUUUGGACUUCUAGACUCCAGAGCUGAGAGAGAUUCUAUUUCUGUAGUUGUCAUUGUUUAAGAUUUUAUUUAUUUUAGAGAUAGAGACAGAGCAUGAGCAGGGCAGGGAGCAAAGGGAGAAGGACAAGCAGACUCCCUGCUGAGGGCAGAGCCGGAUGCAGGGCUCGAGCCCCG